rnacentral:rRNA from 1 species
AUUGAACGCUGGCGGCAGGCCUAACACAUGCCAGUCGAGCGGAUGAAGGGAGCUUGCUCCUGGAUUCAGCGGCGGACGGGUGAGUAAUGCCUAGGAAUCUGCCUGGUAGUGGGGGAUAACGUCCGGAAACGGGCGCUAAUACCGCAUACGUCCUGAGGGAGAAAGUGGGGGAUCUUCGGACCUCACGCUAUCAGAUGAGCCUAGGUCGGAUUAGCUAGUUGGUGGGGUAAGGGCCUACCAAGGCGACGAUCCGUAACUGGUCUGAGAGGAUGAUCAGUCACACUGGAACUGAGACACGGUCCAGACUCCUACGGGAGGCAGCAGUGGGGAAUAUUGGACAAUGGGCGAAAGCCUGAUCCAGCCAUGCCGCGUGUGUGAAGAAGGUCUUCGGAUUGUAAAGCACUUUAAGUUGGGAGGAAGGGCAGUAAGUUAAUACCUUGCUGUUUUGACGUUACCAACAGAAUAAGCACCGGCUAACUUCGUG